AGCUUUGUGCAGUGGCAGUAUCAUAGCCGAUGAGGUUUAUCCGAGGUGUGAUUAUUGCUAAUUAAGAAUGAA
rnacentral:snRNA from 1 species